GCUGCGCGCGCUGCGCGUCUUCUCCUACGACCACAACCCGGUCACCGGGCCCCCGCGCGUCGCCGACACCGUCUUCCUCGUGGGCGAGGGCGCCGUCGAGCGAAUGGCCGAGCGCGACGAGCCCACGCCCCGGCCGCCGCCCCGGCGCGCGGCUCGGGCCUUGGAGGACGAGGACGAGGAGGACCUGCUGGGGGGCAGCAGUGGCUCCCGGGCUCUGGGGCCUCCCGCGGGCAGCCGGCCUGCCCUGGAAGCCGCCCCAGGACCGGGCACCUGAGCCCCGAGCUGCGGGCGGUGGACGGGCCGUUGUGGGACCAGGGCUCCGGGAAGGCCCGUGGGCAGCAGACGGACAGGCAGGCCCGGGGAGAACCUUCACGCAUUCCUGCCCCCCCCCCCCCCCCCCCCCCCCCCCCCCAGAGACCCAGAGGUCCCGGCUUAGUCCAUGCCCUGGGGCUCUGCAGGCUGCUAGAGCCCCUGACGGCACCGUCGAGAUGCUGGCUUCCUUCUGGAACCAGGGCACUGUCCGCAGAAUCCUCACCCCUGGCUGAGCCCGGAUGUCCGGGGCCCCACACCAACCCUCUUCCUCCUGGAGUUUGGAUCUCCCAGACCCGUCCUUUCUGGUACAGGAGCCGCUACCUCUGGGGUGGACCACAUGCCUGUGGGAGACAGACUUGACCAUGGAAGAGGGCCUGGGCCACGCCCCAGUGCCCGGGAAGGAAGUGGGAAACUGGGAUUGGGGCCGCAACGCCGAAGCUGCCCUUGCUCCUCCACCGGGCUCAUUGCACAUACCUCCCUCUCCAGGCAUCCUAAAAUGUGCUUGGGGGAGGGGGCGCUUGGAAGGCAGGGUCUCCACCGCCCCCCGCCUUUGUUCUGUUCUGUGCUCUCGGCUCAUGCCUGGAAUCUUGCUGGAACAAGAGCACGCGCUCUCCCUUUCCCACAGCCUGAGCCUUCCAGCUAUCAAGUUUGAAAAGAAGCCACUGUGCCUCUAGGGCCUCCUGCUUGGAAGAGAGAGGUUCUCUGCUCUGGGAAUCUGCUCCAGAGCCUCCCCCACUGCCUGCACUCUCCAUUCCCUUAAAUGGACACAGUCAGGGUGGCUGGCACCGCGUGGGGGCAUGGGACAAGCCCUGUGUGCCUCCACUCCGUCACCAGGGACAGCCUCAGGGGUGAGGAGUAGGGUGUCGCUCUGCAAUUCCCAGGGCCGAAUCUUUCCCAUCCAAGCAAUAACGGGAAGAGGGGGCCAGGGCCAGGGACACUCAGGGACAUCAUCAGGGGCUGGGGCCCCACAUGGUAGUGUUAUCUUUAGGAAGGAAAAAAAACAACUGGCUGUAAACAUAAAUUAUAUUUCUUGGA
rnacentral:lncRNA from 1 species